rnacentral:lncRNA from 1 species
AUCUCUAAUAAAAAGGAGGACAUAUACACUCUAAGGAUCAGCAGCCGUUUUCAUAGGAGACCCCCCUGAAGAUCGUCUUCUUCGUCACCCCCAUCAAAUUUUCGUUUUUCUUCUCCUACACGUUCAAAAAACCCUAGAACUUCAUCUUGUUCAUCCUUCAGCUUCAGCAGAAAUACACCAAGGACCCCCCAACCUUUGCUUCUUCUUCCUCGACUAACCUAGAGAACAUAAGGAAAACCCUAGACUCCAUUGAAGCUGCGCUACAACCAUUCCCCAGUCGAAGAACACAAACACUUAGAACUCCCAGCUACACACACCUCUCACACCACCUGGAAUUCGCCGGAGAUAGCAGCAGACAAAGCCAUCUCUUUACUGCCGAAAUCCGGCGAGGAUAAACCCAGUCGCUUCUUCUGCUUCUUCCCAUUCACGACAGUGCACUAGAAACCAACAUGCUACUUUUCUCGAAAAAUCUCGCGAAACAGUUUUAAGACGAGGUUGGUUUGAGGUCGUCGAUGUCCGUUCGAGGCUCAAUCACCGGUUCAAAGUUCAGGUCAUUAGCUCGCUUUUUGGUUCGUAGUAUCGGAGGCUUCUCUCAUUGUAUACGUUAAAGAAAGCGCAGCAAUAAAGGUCCGAUUUUAUUAUUCUUACUCACUCUUAUUGAUACAUUACAUGUGCUUAGUGUUUAAUUUGAGUUUAUUUAAGUGAUCUACUGUACAAUUUGGAAUUAUCUAUAUGUUUGUGUGCUCGUAUUGGUUUUCAUUUUAAGAUUUCUUAGUUUGCGAUUUGAGAAUCUCUUUCUAGUAAUUGAUGAAUGGUUGCCGAAAGUUCUGUGUGAAAUUAGUUCAUGUUGAAUGUCUUAGGAAAGCGUAUUUGAAGUUUGAAUCUAAAGAGUAAUUUUAAAAUAUUGGUAUGACAAUGUGAUUAUCAUUUUUUUUAGUUAUCUAGAUUCUUACUAAAUAAGCAUGUUCUUUUGCAUCAUUUUGAUUUCAUUGGCUAGUUAUUUAGAAAGAAAGUUAAAAAAAUAACGCUUGCUGAAAGUUUUGUUACUGAAGAAUGAAGUACCAAGCUAGAUCAAAACCUUGUUCUUGUUAAUUUAUAUAAGCUCAACGUUUUUUUAGGAUAACAAAUUUAUGAAAUAUUGUAGCUUGCUUUAGGCGCAAUUAAUAAUAAAUUAUCAUGGCCAUGGGUACGGUUCCCGUGGUAUGGUCAUGAUACGUAAAUUCCAAAUCCGGGGGUACAUUUAUGUGACACGGCCGCAAUUUAAUCUUAUUAAUAAAAUAAAUAUGUUGUAGAUCGUGGGUACGGUUCCCGUGACAUGAUUCACAAUGUGUAAUCAAAUAAUUAGCUGUAUGACAAUCGUGGAUUUUUAAAAGCGGUAGGAGGAAUAAAAUGCACAAUAGGUUUAAAAUAUGUAGUUAAUCAGAUAAUUAGGCCAAUAAUAAUAGUUGAGAGAUCAUGCUAAAAUCACGGAAUCCGGGAAUGCCUAACACAUUCUCUCGGGUUAACAAAUUUCUUACCCGGAUUUCUGUGUCGCAAACCAUAAAUAAGAGUCAAACUUCCUCGAUUCGGGAUUUUAAACCGGUGACUUGGGACACCAUAAAUUAUCCCAAGUGGCGACUCCGAUUUUAAUAUGAAUAAUCCCGUUUUGAUUGUCACUUAAAUUGGAAAAAACUCGCUUAUACCCUUCUAGGUAGUAAAAAGGAGGUGUGACAGCUCUGGCGACUCUGCUGGGGACAAGAACCCAGAAUCUCUAGUUCAGGGUUCAAGAAUUCGAGCUUAGAAUAAUUGUUAUAUUUGGCUUUUAUUUAUUAUCUGAUUUUAUGCUUGAGCCUAAUGUGCUAAAUGCCGCUUUUUACCGCUUUGAUAUUAUUUGAACUAUAUAUAAACUGUUGCGAAACCCUUCUCUUCUAAUCUUCUGGGAAGUGCACGCUGGCAUGACUUCUUUUCUAUUAGUGUCAUAUCCUAAUUUAGAACGAGGUUCGGACAAGUUGCAAAGCCGGAUGAUCUUUUGGUUAUCGGUACGCUGCCCCCCUUCGGCUUGAGUUGUCCGCUCGGGUAAGCCAGGUCUACAACAAUACACCCAGGUUUUAAACUUAGAAUAACAUAGCCUUUUACCGGAUCCCUAGUAGGAACGCUUGAUUGCAUCAUGUGCAUUUGACUUUGGGGACUCAACACAGGGGUUGGGUCCGUCUAGGAUAGGUGUACACCAAAAAUAAAAGACCAUCCUGAUACAUCCUAUGUACUACAUGUUGCAUUUCUUCAAGGGUAAAAGGGUCAUUUGGUGGACCAAUGAUGGUUGAGGGUAAAUGAGAAAGAAAAGAGGGUGAAGCAUGAAAAUAAAGCAAGCAGGGCCCAGUUACGUUUUUCUUUCACAUUUUUUUUAAAGAAAAAGACAAAAAAAGAAAAUCCAAAAAGAGUUUACAUGUUUCAUCAUUUUUCAAGAUAAAAAAACAAAAAAAUAUUUUUUCUCUAAAUUAGUUGUCUUUUUUUAUUCUUAAAUGUAUCCAAUCUUCCCGAACUACGCAUACCUAAUUCUCGUCUUUCGGGGUGUGAUACGUAGGCAGCCCACAUAGGGUCCGGUCUUCCUAGUGAGUUUUAGGUUCUUGGCUUCGCGGGGUCUUAGUCAAAUCUUACAUUUUUAGCCACUUUUAGCCACAUAAGUUAAUUUUAGAGAAAUAGUCACAAUCAUGUCUUGCAUGUGUCCAACAGGAAGGGUUAUUGUCUCACAUAGCGUUCUAGGUUUAACUUUAUUUGGUCUUAAUUUUCUCAUACAGGUAUGGACUUACUUACCGGAGUUUGAGCAUGACAGACACCCCAGGACCAUCCAGUCAGGGUCGCUCAUUCAGGAGUUUGCUUAAGGAGAUUUUUUUUAGUUAUUAUGUCUUGAGUCUGUUGUUCUUUUUAUGUCAUCUUUUACCUUCUAGUUUUAUACAGUAAUGUCGAGUCUUUUAGGUGAUGUUAGAAUUUGUCAUAGUCUAGUUAAGUUUGCCGAGUCUUUUGUUAUCGUAUUUCCUAUUUUGUAUUGGAAAAAUGUGUUAUAAGUCAAAAAAAUCCAAAAAAAGAAUUUUUGCAUUUUUAUAUUUCCGUUAGAAGUUUUCUUUAGAAUACUUAUUCUAGGAAUAAAAAAAAAUUAUUUGAGGUGGUUUUCUUUUAUUGAAUUAAUAUCUAGAACUCAAAAUAAAAAAUUGCUUUUAUAUUUUCUUAUAGAACAUUAAGUCUAUAAAAUUCCAAAAAAAGAAAAAUUGUUUCUUUUAUUUCUCUUUUUUCAUAAGAGUAGUCAUUAAGGUAAUAAACAAAAAAGAAAAAAAAGAAAAGAAAAUGAGAACGCUAUUUUGUUUACUUUAUUCCCGAUCUUCCCGAAC